rnacentral:rRNA from 1 species
AGCCCGCGUUGGAUUAGCUAGUUGGUGGGGUAAAGGCCUACCAAGGCGACGAUCCAUAGCUGGUCUGAGAGGAUGAUCAGCCACAUUGGGACUGAGACACGGCCCAAACUCCUACGGGAGGCAGCAGUGGGGAAUAUUGGACAAUGGGCGCAAGCCUGAUCCAGCCAUGCCGCGUGAGUGAUGAAGGCCCUAGGGUUGUAAAGCUCUUUCACCGGAGAAGAUAAUGACGGUAUCCGGAGAAGAAGCCCCGGCUAACUUCGUGCCAGCAGCCGCGGUAAUACGAAGGGGGCUAGCGUUGUUCGGAAUUACUGGGCGUAAAGCGCACGUAGGCGGAUCGAUCAGUCAGGGGUGAAAUCCCAGGGCUCAACCCUGGAACUGCCUUUGAUACUGUCGAUCUGGAGUAUGGAAGAGGUGAGUGGAAUUCCGAGUGUAGAGGUGAAAUUCGUAGAUAUUCGGAGGAACACCAGUGGCGAAGGCGGCUCACUGGUCCAUUAC